GGCGUAAUUACAUGGCAGUGGAUUCCUCAGCAUGGUGACCUGGUGGACGCACCACUGCGAAGCCAUUCUGGUGCAAAAACAAACACAGAGCGAAGGACAGCAAAACUAGCUGCAUUCAACCAGGACGAGUACAAGGAAAGCAAGAAAUUUGUGAGGAGAAAGCACAAGCUGAUGUGCUGAUGACAGUGCCAUCCUUCCUGCGGAGAAGUGGAGAGCUCCGCCUCUCUGCCACCUUCUGCUUCAACCGCGAACGCACCUUCAGGUUAGGCUCUGAGACUGGACAAGAGACCCAGAGAGAGAGGGGAAUGAAAACCCGCCAAGCUUGGAGCAAAAAAAAAAA